CGCCCAUAGCUCAAUUCGGUAGAGCAGCGGACUCUUAAUCCGUUGGUUCCAGGUUCGAGUCCUGGUGGGCGCACCA
rnacentral:tRNA from 1 species